rnacentral:rRNA from 1 species
CAGCAGCGCGGGAAUACGUAGGGUGCAAGCGUUAAUCGGAAUUACUGGGCGUAAAGCGUGCGCAGGCGGUUAUAUAAGACAGAUGUGAAAUCCCCGGGCUCAACCUGGGAACUGCAUUUGUGACUGUAUAGCUAGAGUACGGCAGAGGGGGAUGGAAUUCCGCGUGUAGCAGUGAAAUGCGUAGAUAUGCGGAGGAACACCGAUGGCGAAGGCAAUCCCCUGGGCCUGUACUGACGCUCAUGCACGAAAGCGUGGGGAGCAAACAGGAUUAGAUACCCGCGUAGUCCCUGUCUCUUAUACA